GUGGAAAUUCUUCUCAAAAUUGAGAGGUGCUAAGUCUCUGAAGAAUUUUCAAGCCGGUGUGAUAAUCAAGUCACUUUAAUUCAUGCAGCAUGGAGAGAAGGUCACGUAGUGAAUGUUCUCUCCAGACUUCCAAAAUGCUCUCCCUUAUAUACAUUUCAGUACAUCUCAUUACAUCACAAACAAUGAAACCCCCUGUUUGUCUUGCAAAUGUUACUCCUGUAAAUCCAGGUCUCUCUCACCAAAUGGUCCUUUGAUCUGUGACUUCCAAAAUGCUCUCCCUUAUAUACAUUUCAGUACAUCUCAUUACAUCACAAACAAUGAAACCCCCUGUUUGUCUUGCAAAUGUUACUCCUGUAAAUCCAGGUCUCUCUCACCAAAUGGUCCUUUGAUCUGUGACUUCCCCCUGGCUCUUCCUAUCAUAAAAUUCAACCCUUUGACCAGGGGCACAUCUAUUUUAUUACCCCCAAAUCCUGUUUCUUUCCCACAAGCCUCCUGAUUUAUACGCCUCCUGAUUGGCUGGCUGAGUGUUACAUGUCUCCUGAUAGGCUGGCUUAGUGUUACACACCUCCUGAUUGAAACGCCUUCUCAUUGGCUUUCUGUUACAUGCCACCUGAUUGGCUGCCUGAGUGUGACAUGCUUCCUUAUUGGCUGGCUGAGUGUUACACGCCUCCUUAUUGGCAGGCUGAGUGUCAAAGGCCUCAUGAUGGGCCCCUUUGUUUUAAAUGCCUUCUGAUUCGCUGGCUGAGAGUCAAAGGCCUCUUGAUUUGCUGACUGUGUGUCAAAGGGCUCCUGAUUGGCUGGCUGAGUGUUAAAACCAUCCUGAUUGGCUGAUUGUUACAUGCAUGCUGAUUUGUUGAUUGGUCAAUGCUUCCUGUCCUGGUUAGCUGAAUGUUAAAUCCACCCUCAUUGGCUGUUUCUUUGCUGAUUGUCACAUGUUUCCUGAUUUGCUGGCUAAGUGUCACAUGCAUCCUGAUUGGCUGGCUGAGUGUUACACGCCCCCUGAUUGGCUGGCUGAGGGUUACACACCUCCUGAUUGGCUGGCUGAGUGUUACAUGCAUCCUGAUUGGCUGGCCGAGAGUCAAAGGCCUGCUGAUUGGCUGGCUGAGUGUUACAUGUUUCCUGAUUUGCUGGCUAAGUGUCACAUGCAUCCUAUUGGCUUGCUGAGGGUCACAUGCAUCCUGAUUGGCUGGCCGAGUGUCAAAGGCCUCCUGAUUGGCUGGGUGAGUGUUACACACCUCCUGAUAUGCUGGCUAAGUCUUAAAACCAUCCUGAUUGGCUGAUUGUUAAAUCCACCCUCAUUGGCUGUUUCUUUGCUGAUUGUCACAUGCAUCCUGAUUGGCUGGCUGAGUGUCACACACCUCCUGAUUGGCUGGCUGAGUGUUACAUGCCUCCUGAUUGGCUGGCUGCUUGUUACACGCCUCCUGAUUUGCUGGCUAAGUGUCACAUACAUCCUGAUUGGCUUGCUGAGGGUCACAUGCAUCCUGAUUGGCUGGCCGAGUUCCAAAGAUUUCCUGAUUAGCUGAAUGUUAAAUCCACCCUCAUUGGCUGUUUCUUUGCUGAUUGUUACAUGCUUCCUGAAUUUGCUGAUUUUUACAUGCAUGCUUAUUGGCUGAUUGUUACAUGCAUGCUUAUUGGCUGAUUGUUACAGGCUUCCUGAUUCGCUGAAUGUGAAAUCCAUCCUCAUUGGCUGUUUCUUACAUGCAUCCUGAUUGGCUGAAUAUUGAAGGCUUUCUCACUGGUGAAAACACUAAAACUGUGUUUAACCCUGUUUUUUGUUCGUCUGGAUAAGAUCUACGUGUGUGCUGAUUUUUAUGCAUAUCAGUGAAAGGGGCCCCGGUUGGAACAGUUUAUUGGCCCCUGAGGGGCAAUUUUGCUACGCUCAAGUAGACCCCUAGAAAAUAGGAAAUGUUUCACCAUGACUGACAUCCUCACUGGCUGAAUGUUACAUGCAUCCUCAUUGGCUGAUUGUAAAACCCAUCCUGAUUGGCUGCAUGUUACAUACAUCCUGAUUUGCUGAUUGGGAAAUCCAUCCUGAUUGGCUAAUUUGUUCACUUAAUUAGCAAUUUUUUUACAUGCAUCCCGAUUGGCUGAUUGUUAUAUGCAUCCUCAUUGAUUGUCACAUGCAUCCUGAUGUGCUAAAUGUUAAAUGGAUCCUGACUGGCUGAAUUUCAAAGGUGUCCUAAAUGGCUGAUUGUUACAUGCAUUGUGAUUGAUUGUUUAAUGAAUCCUGAUUGGCUGAUUGUUAUAUUUAUCCUGAUUGGCUGAAUGUUAAAUUCUUCCUGAUUAGCUAAAUGUGAAAGCCAUCCUGAUUGGCUGAAUGUUAAAGUCCUCCUUAUUGGCUGAUUGUUACAUUCAUCCUGAUUAUCUGAUUGUUAAAUACAGCCCAACCGGCUGAUUGUUACAUGAAUCCUGAUUGAUAGAAUGCUAAAGGCCUCCUGAUAAGCUGGUUAUUACAUGCCUCCUGAGCACUGAUGGGCAGUAACAUGUUAGGAGUAACGUGUUACUGUAAUCCGAUUACUUUUUUCAAGUAACGAGUAAAGUAAGGGAUUACAAUUGCAAAAACAGUAAUUAGAUUUCUGUUACUUUCCCGCAAGCAGGCUGCGUUACUUAACCGUGAUUUUGUUUUGUGAGACUGUCUCGUGAGUGACAAUGACGUAUGAGCGCUGCAACAAACACUGACACCUGUAGUCAUCAACAAGAGACAACAUGGAGCGCGGGACAGAGCAAGACCAUGCAGCGUUUAAAGCUUGGAAGUACCGACAUAACUUUGAGUUUGACUCGGUAAAAGGUGACAAAAACAUUAGCGUCCGCUGUACACUGCGUUGGAAGAAAACUUUUAUCUACAGCGAAAAAUUCCACCUCCUAUCUGAGCAAGCACCUAGCAAGCUGGCACAGGUCAGAGACUGUUGCAUUUAAUUUAAUUUUUGCUUGAUGCAAUGUGCAAAGUUAAAAGAUUGAAACUAAUAAAACAAGUUUUAAAAAAGAAAUUUGAUUCAAUUUUAGAUGAUGGAAUUAUUAUUUAGGGCUGCUCGAUUAUGGAAAAAAUCAUAAUCACGAUUAUUUGGGUCAAAAUUGAAAUCACGAUUAUUGAAACGAUUACGAUCGGACGGGCCUGCCCCCACUGCUAAAAAAAAUCCUAGGGGAAACACUGAUUACCUGUUACUGUUACGCUUUACCUGUUCCAUCAAAAACAACGUGACUGACUCAUGUGCAGUGCAUGCUGGGGGGCAGGGACGUAAAUACGCUUGCGCGAAAUCCUUCCUGAUUUGCUGAUUAUUAAGUGCACAUUAUUGGCUUAUAUUUAUAUGCAUCCUGAUAGGCUGAUUGUUAAAGGCAUCCUGAUUGGUUGAUUGUUACAUGAAUCCUAAUAGCUUGAAUGUCACAUGCAUACUGAUUGGCUAUUUCUUCACUUAAUUAGCAAAUUUGUUACAUGUGUCUUAAAUUGGCUGAAUGGCAAAGGCCUACUGAAUGGGGCUGUAGCGAUACACUAAUCUCACGAUACGAUACAAUACAAUACACGAUAUUCAGCUCACGAUACGAUAUAUAUCACGUGCUGGAGAAAAUGAAUCAAAGAUGUGGUGAGAAAAUUGGUUUCAUUUAUUGAAACAGUGCAAACUUACAAACUUUUGAAAAGUAAAUAAAGUGCCUUAAAAUAAACAAUCAAGACUUAAAAAGUGCAGCAAGUGGCCUGUUCUGAACAGAUUCUGAAUGUAUGAGGUAGCCAAUCUAGCCACCAGGUAGGUAAAAAUAAACCAUGGCAAUAAGAACGAAGCCAAUAAUUCAAGUACAUAGGACAGGAGGAACAUUUAAACCAACUUAAAACUGUACCCGUCUUAGAAGAGUAGCUUAAGGCCUGCAGGCCCUGACCUACAAGUAAACACUAAACAGAAAGUCUCCUCUCCACAUAACUGCAGACCAAGUGAUCUACAUUCUCUUCAGAUUUUUGUUCAGAAAUAUAAUCUGAUCGAUGUGUUCUGGGAGAAGUGCACUUCUCUGAGCAGUGAUGAUAUCUCCGGCGGUGGAGAAGACCCUCUCCGAGGAGACGCUAGUGCCAGGGAUGCAGAGGUACCUUUUAGCAAGGUGUGACAAGAGUGGAUACUCAUACUGGUGUUAACGUACUAGUUAGCUAACUAACGUUACCCGCUAACGUUUGCAUGUUUGUAGCUAUACACAAAGUGACAUCUGUUCCGUUGUGUGAUGAAGUCUUCAUCUGAAUAUGUACACCCUGCCUGCCGGCGAAUGACAGCUUGAUAAGUAACGUUAGUUUAAAAACAAAAAACCUUAUGCCAACUAGGCUGUAUCAUAUAUGGCUAGCAGGAUGUGAAACAUUGUAGCCUACCUGCUUAUCCACUCCACAUAGCAUCAGACAACAGACAAGAGCAGCUGGGGCAGUGAAAUGCCUAUAAUCCUGUUAGCAAUCUGUUAGGUUGUAACAUAGUAGUAAUAACUGUACGAUAGUAUGUAUGCAAAGUAACUGUAAGUAAUAAGUAGACGCAGUACAACAGUAACGUGUCAUUCAUUCUGUAUGUAUUCUUCUUCUCAUCAUAUCAUAUCAAAUCACGUACAUAUGAUAAUACGUUUUCGCCACCUACUGGCGAACGUGUAACCACGUUUAUGUUAAGAUUACAUGAUUGACAUGAAACAUAACAUCAGCGAAUGAACAGUCUGAAUGCACGUCAACUGUCUGCUAUGACAGGAGAAUUUAUGACCGUCACUGUCAUUAGAAGUGAACCCAGCUGGACGUCUGAUUUGUCUACCCACGUGAUGCCUUUAUCUAACUAAAACGUUUUUUCUGUUAGGUACAUCAUUCCUACAGCUUGAAUGAACCGCCUCUGACAGCUUGUGUUGCUGUGGAAAAGGAGGGACUGGUUC
ensembl:lncRNA